UGCUUGGGAAAAUCCCCCUAGGACAAAACUAAAUUACCACCAGGAACAACAGGUGGGCAGUUUCAACUCAACCCCAAAACAACAGCAAGCAGCAAAAGAGAAAUUCAAAAAGCAAGAGAUGGCACGACAAAGAUUUAGCAGGAGUCCGAGUCCCAGCCAGAACCACUCCAUCAGUCCUUGGAGGAGAAGCGGGAGCCCACAACUUUCGAGGACCCAAUUCUAUGGGAGGAGAAAGGCCCAGAUCAAUGGGAGGAGAAGGGAACAAUUUGGGAGGAAAAGGGUCCACUUCUUUGGGAGAAAGGUCCAUUACUAUGGGAGAAAGAGAGGGAGGAGAGGAGGAUAUAGAAGACUCUCUAAUAGAAGGAGGAGGAGAAGAUAGAAAACUCACCACGUCAAUAGAGCUGUUCUUACCUGGGAGUUUAAAAGCAAAAAAAAAAUCUUCAAUCCCCUUCAAAGUUGUUCAGUACACACCAAAAGAAAAAACCAAGAUUCCCACUCAAGUGUCUGAGGUCUGAGAGAAGCUGAUGGAUCCGGUACAUGCCAAAAGAAAAAACCAAGAUUCCCACUCAAGUGUCUGAGGUCUGAGAGAAACUAAUGGAUCCAAAUAGUCAAAUGCCUGCCACCUGUCAAUAAAUCCUGAAAAUUACUCGUUGUCAGAUCCACUUUCUUGCACCUAAGAAGACUUUGCUCGUCACCUAGCUUGCAUGCUUGUGCACGGCCACCUUGGAUGGACAGUUGAUACUCCUUCUCCUCCCCUUGUGCAAGUGGGAGAAAAGGACCAGAAAAAGAAAACAAUCUACAGUCAUGUUGUUGGAGACAAUACCGGCAAAAACAUUUGUAUCCAGGGCUCUCCAUCCAAGGAGGUGGAGAAUGGCGCUUUAUUUUUGUAUCUCCUCCAAUUCUUCAAUUCAGUCCUUCGAGCUUUAAGAUUAUUAGCUAAGAGCAAGACUGGAAUCAUCCUCUUUCAAAAAACAGAGGGAGGGGUUCAUGCACCAUACACCAUGAUGAGACAUCAGAGGAAAAAUCAAGAAAGAGUCAUCCUUGG